rnacentral:rRNA from 1 species
UCCUGGCUCAGGACGAACGCUGGCGGCGUGCCUAAUACAUGCAAGUCGAACGCUUCUUUUUCCACCGGAGCUUGCUCCACCGGAAAAAGAGGAGUGGCGAACGGGUGAGUAACACGUGGGUAACCUGCCCAUCAGAAGGGGAUAACACUUGGAAACAGGUGCUAAUACCGUAUAACAAUCGAAACCGCAUGGUUUUGAUUUGAAAGGCGCUUUCGGGUGUCGCUGAUGGAUGGACCCGCGGUGCAUUAGCUAGUUGGUGAGGUAACGGCUCACCAAGGCGACGAUGCAUAGCCGACCUGAGAGGGUGAUCGGCCACAUUGGGACUGAGACACGGCCCAAACUCCUACGGGAGGCAGCAGUAGGGAAUCUUCGGCAAUGGACGAAAGUCUGACCGAGCAACGCCGCGUGAGUGAAGAAGGUUUUCGGAUCGUAAAACUCUGUUGUUAGAGAAGAACAAGGAUGAGAGUAACUGUUCAUCCCUUGACGGUAUCUAACCAGAAAGCCACGGCUAACUACGUGCCAGCAGCCGCGGUAAUACGUAGGUGGCAAGCGUUGUCCGGAUUUAUUGGGCGUAAAGCGAGCGCAGGCGGUUUCUUAAGUCUGAUGUGAAAGCCCCCGGCUCAACCGGGGAGGGUCAUUGGAAACUGGGAGACUUGAGUGCAGAAGAGGAGAGUGGAAUUCCAUGUGUAGCGGUGAAAUGCGUAGAUAUAUGGAGGAACACCAGUGGCGAAGGCGGCUCUCUGGUCUGUAACUGACGCUGAGGCUCGAAAGCGUGGGGAGCAAACAGGAUUAGAUACCCUGGUAGUCCACGCCGUAAACGAUGAGUGCUAAGUGUUGGAGGGUUUCCGCCCUUCAGUGCUGCAGCUAACGCAUUAAGCACUCCGCCUGGGGAGUACGACCGCAAGGUUGAAACUCAAAGGAAUUGACGGGGGCCCGCACAAGCGGUGGAGCAUGUGGUUUAAUUCGAAGCAACGCGAAGAACCUUACCAGGUCUUGACAUCCUUUGACCACUCUAGAGAUAGAGCUUCCCCUUCGGGGGCAAAGUGACAGGUGGUGCAUGGUUGUCGUCAGCUCGUGUCGUGAGAUGUUGGGUUAAGUCCCGCAACGAGCGCAACCCUUAUUGUUAGUUGCCAUCAUUUAGUUGGGCACUCUAGCAAGACUGCCGGUGACAAACCGGAGGAAGGUGGGGAUGACGUCAAAUCAUCAUGCCCCUUAUGACCUAGGCUACACACGUGCUACAAUGGGAAGUACAACGAGUCGCAAAGUCGCGAGGCUAAGCUAAUCUCUUAAAGCUUCUCUCAGUUCGGAUUGUAGGCUGCAACUCGCCUACAUGAAGCCGGAAUCGCUAGUAAUCGCGGAUCAGCACGCCGCGGUGAAUACGUUCCCGGGCCUUGCACUCACCGCCCGUCA